rnacentral:lncRNA from 10 species
CAAAUUUUGUGUUUAUUUUAUUUCCUCUGCUUUAUUUAGUGUAUUUCUGAGUAUCCUGUUUGCAUUUUUUAUUAUUGUUUUAAAAAUAUCUCUUUUGCUCCCUUACAAACAAGUGCUCACUGCUGCAAAGAAGAACAAGCACACAGGCAAAAAGUUUUCCCAGCAAGAAUGCCAGGGUGAAAGGAAAGAUCAAUUGGACCAGAGCACAAGUGCUGCUCCAGUUACUUGGCAGAGUACCUAAUAGUGAUCCACCACAA